rnacentral:rRNA from 1 species
GACGAACGCUGGCGGCGUGCUUAACACAUGCGAGUCGAACGGUAAGGCCCUUCGGGAUACACGAGUGGCGAACGGGUGAGUAACACGUGGGUGAUCUGCCCUGCACUUCGGGAUAAGCCUGGGAAACUGGGUCUAAUACCGGAUAGGACCACUGCCUGCAUGGGUGGUGGUGGAAAGCUUUUGCGGUGUGGGGUGGGCCCGCGGCCUAUCAGCUUGUUAGUGGGGUGAUGGCCUACCAAGGCGACGACGGGUAGCCGGCCUGAGAGGGUGACCGGCCACCCUGGGACUGAGAUACGGCCCAGACUCCUACGGGAGGCAGCAGUGGGGAAUAUUGCACAAUGGGCGCAAGCCUGAUGCAGCGACGCUGCGUGAGGGAUGACGGCCUUCGGGUUGUAAACCUCUUUCAGCACCGACGAAGCGCAAGUGACGGUAGGUGCAGAAGAAGGACCGGCCAACUACGUGCCAGCCGCCGCUGUAA